GCAGCAUUGCAUUUCGUUGUGCACGAAGACAAUGCCAACAUCCCCCGUAUAUUACAUUAGAGAAGCAAUAUGUCGGCGCGUUUUCACCAGCUAAUGAGUCAAGUAUUCAAAAAAUUUGAGGGUGAUGAUGAUGAAAACAAUGAAUAAAUUAUUGAAUUGUUUGACGAUGAGGCCCAAGAAAAUACCAGCACUUCCAUUGAAGAAAAAAAAAGAGGAAGUUGAGGAAACAACUACCCUUCCCUCAUCUUCUAAGUUCCGCAGUUUGAAGUGUCAGUUACAAAGCAAAAAGGAUGAGUCAGCAAAGGUAGCUACUUCAAAUCGAGUGCUUAGGAAGAGAGUGCGUGUCUUGGAAGGGAUGGUAGAGAAUGAGUCUUCAAAUAAAAAGGCGAUGGAGGAUUUCAGCAAGACCCUUACUUCAGUGGAACACUAUUUUAAGUUGGAGAUAGAGAAGUUGAAAAAACAAUAUGGUGUGUUGAUUGAACAUGUUGAAGGACAUGAAGAAGUGUGUAGUCUUCAUAUCAAUGAAAGAGGUGAGAAUGACAUGUUGCCCUUAUAGGAAUAUAUUACUCCAACUACAAAAUCGACUGAAAUGGAAGCACAAGUCCCUGGUGAUGGCCCCGAAGCCUUCGCAACCAUGCAAGUCCAAAGGGCAGAAAUGGACACUUCAGUUCCUGACAAACAACCGCAGCAAGAAGAUGAGAAGCUUUCUACUCCGAAAACAUUCUAAAUGCUUAGGAAACAUGCAUCUACUGCUUAUGAAAUGAACUUUAGCCACAACCUAUA